rnacentral:rRNA from 1 species
UACGUAGGGUGCGAGCGUUAAUCGGAAUUACUGGGCGUAAAGUGUGCGCAGGCGGCCGAGCAAGUCGAGUGUGAAAGCCCCGAGCUUAACUUGGGAAUUGCGCUCGAAACUACUUUGCUGGAGUGUGGCAGAGGAAGGUGGAAUUCCACGUGUAGCGGUGAAAUGCGUAGAGAUGUGGAGGAACACCAAUGGCGAAGGCAGCCUUCUGGGCCAAUACUGACGCUCAUGCACGAAAGCGUGGGGAGCAAACAGG